rnacentral:rRNA from 1 species
GCAGCCGCCGCGGGAAAACAGAGGGUGCGAGCGUUAAUCGGAUUUACUGGGCGUAAAGCGUGCGUAGGCGGCUAAUUGAGUCGGAUGUGAAAUCCCCGAGCUUAACUUGGGAAUUGCAUUCGAUACUGGUUAGCUAGAGUGUGGGAGAGGAUGGUAGAAUUCCAGGUGUAGCGGUGAAAUGCGUAGAGAUCUGGAGGAAUACCGAUGGCGAAGGCAGCCAUCUGGCCUAACACUGACGCUGAGGUACGAAAGCAUGGGGAGCAAACAGGAUUAGAUACCCCCGUAGUCCCUGUCUCUUAUAC